CAAUAGCGUAUAUUAAAGUUGUUGCAGUUAAAAGCUCGUAGUUGGAUUUCUGGCCGAGUGUCCCCAGGCCAGCAUGACGUUUGGUCCUGGGCGCUCUGCCAUCCUUCUGUCAACCUUCGCCUCGUUCAUUCGUGGCGCUGGGGCGUCAGAUAUUUUACCUUUGAGAAAAUUAAGAGUGUUUCAGGCAGGCUUUCGCCGGAAUACAUUAGCAUGGAAUAAUGGAAAGGAACUUCAACCUCUUCUGUUGGUCUGAGAGGCUGUAGUAAUGAUUAAUAGGGAUAGUUGGGGGCGAUUAGUACUUAACUGUCAGAGGUGAAAUUCUCCGAUUUGUUAAAGACUAACUUAUGCGAAAG
rnacentral:rRNA from 1 species